rnacentral:lncRNA from 1 species
CUCCUCCCCACUCCAUUGCAGGGCCCCCAUCCUACCGUGGUCCCCCUCCCAUCUCCUCCACCGCAGCCUCCUCUGGCCCCUUCCGGGGCUCUGCAGCCCUGACCUCCACCGCUCCCUGUACCACCACCACCACCACCACCGCCGCCACCACCACGAGGACCUCAGUCCAGCCCCACCAGGACAGGACACACCCAGCCCCCUCUGGUUCUACAGCGGCCGGCCGCAGGAUAGGGGAGCACCACCCUCACCCCACAGCUAAGGCAGGUGAGUCCCAGGAGACGGUGGUGGACUCUGGGAUAGAGGAGCUGGACAGCCGCAGCAGCAGUGACCACCACCUGGACAACAUCCUGGCCAUGAGCGGAGGAGCCAGAGAGAGGCUGGAAGAGAGGCUGGAGAGAGGGAGGGAGGGAGGAGGAGGAGGGGAGGGAGACAGGGCGGGAGGAGCAGACCUCCUGGAGUCGUACAUGAGCUACCUGGACGGACAGACGUUUGAUAUGCACAACGCCACGGCCGCCGUCUCCACCUACCCCAAAUCAGGCAGGUUCAGGGAGGGGGGCCGCGCGGCCGAACUACGCAGAGAGACCAGUACCGCCCCGCCCUCCUUCCAGUCACACAGACGGAGGGAGGAUGAGGAAGAGGAGGAGGAGGGCGAGGAAGGAGAGGAGGAGGACGAUGGAGGACGGGAGGGUUAUGGGAUGACACAGAAUUUGGGGCGUCCCACAUCACCUUACUUUGACCGGCCCCGGACCCCUGAGAUGAAGCCUCUGUGGGGGUCAGAGGGUCAGUUAGUAGGGGACCAGGGGACCUACCUGGAGGGUCGGAUGCUGUACCCCCCCAUGUCCAGCAUGAAGGCCAGCAUCAUCAAUGAGCUCAGCAACAAACUGCAGCAGAGAGGGAGCCAGAGAUCGUUAAGUAGACACAGGUUUUCAGAAGACUCCGCCUCGGCCCUGAGCCCCCCCUCAGUUCGUUCCCUGUCCCCCUCCCCUAUCCACCACUCCCAGCCCGCCCUGUCCCUGUCCCCCACCCCUUCCUCCCAGUACCCCAACUGGAACCGUCCCUCCUCCCCCCAGCCCCCUGUGGCUGCCGUACAGCCCCCUCCACGCUCCCACUCCCCCUGUCCUCCCCCACCUACUCCCCUUAUCCCACCUCCCCUAAACACCGGCCUGUGUAUCGCACCAAAGCCCUGGAGUUCCAGUUCAUUCCAAGUAGAGAGUCCAGGAAGGCAGAGUCCCAUCACCUGCAGCGUAGGAGAGCCCCCAGUCCACUCAUCUCCCCCUCAGAGAGGCCCAAACUGGGUCCACCCCGCCCCU